rnacentral:rRNA from 1 species
AGAGUUUGAUCAUGGCUCAGGAUGAACGCUAGCGGCAGGCCUAAUACAUGCAAGUCGAACGGUGUCGCAAGACACAGUGGCGCACGGGUGCGUAACGCGUAUGCAACUUACCUGUUAGCGGGGCAUAGCCCGGGGAAACCCGGAUUAAUACCGCAUAAGAUGAUUGAAUGGCAUCAUUUGAUCAUGAAACAUUUAUGGCUAACAGAUGGGCAUGCGUAAGAUUAGCUAGUUGGUGAGGUAACGGCUCACCAAGGCGACGAUCUCUAGAUGGUCUGAGAGGAUGAUCAUCCAGACUGGGACUGAGACACGGCCCAGACUCCUACGGGAGGCAGCAGUAAGGAAUCUUCCGCAAUGGGCGAAAGCCUGACGGAGCAAUGCCGCGUGGAGGAAGACGGCCUUCGGGUUGUAAACUCCUUUUAUAUGGGACGAACACUGACGGUACCAUAUGAAUAAGAGGUGGCUAACUAUGUGCCAGCAGCCGCGGUAAUACAUAGACCUCAAGCGUUAUCCGGAUUUACUGGGCGUAAAGCGUACGUAGGUGUCUUUUUAAGUCUUCGGUGAAAUCUCCGGGCCCAACUCGGAAACUGUCGAAGAUACUGGAAGGAUUGAGUGUGGUAGAGGCAGACGGAAUUCUAGGUGUAGCGGUAAAAUGCGUAGAUAUCUAGAAGAACACCAGUGGCGAAGGCGGUCUGCUGGACCACUACUGACGCUGAGGUACGAAAGCGUGGGGAGCGAACGGGAUUAGAUACCCCAGUAGUCC